GCACCCAAGAAAAGACAAUGGGUGCACAGCACACAAUACAACCAGUGGUGGGGCUUUUCAUUUUCAAACCAGAUACAUUACCUCGGAAUUCGGAAAAAGAAAGAACCUCUCACUCACUUCUGUAAUAUAAAGUCUCAGCUUCCUGCAUUCCCUUCUUAGCUCAGCUUUCUUCAACGAAUACUCUCUCACUCUUCCCAGUCCCAUGGCAUUUUUCAUACCCACAUCCUCAGCACAUGUUUUCUGCUCUAAAGGUUUGGGGAAAUUUGUGGUGCCUGGCACAAGGAGUCGAUCCUCGUCUGUAACACAUGAAAGAUUUUUUGUCGCUUGAAGGUAUUGGAGUUAUGGAUUAAUAUACCUUAAGGUUGGAAUAGGGAAUGAAGCCAUUGGUCCUAGUAGUUUAAUUUAUAUGCAAUAUAUUAUUGAAUUUUUUGUACAUUAUUUGAUGUAGUCUGGACCAAAUCAUUUGCUGUACAUCGAUUUGCUACAUAUAUGAUAGUGAUGACAGCUUGAACUUUACUUUUUGGUUUCAAUGCUUCCAGAACUACAAAGGUAGCAUUAUGGUAGGUUUGCUAAAUAGAAGCACCUAAUCCCCCUUCUAAUUAA